GCAAGUCGAGCGAAUCGAUGGGAGCUUGCUCCCUGAGAUUAGCGGCGGACGGGUGAGUAACACGUGGGCAACCUGCCUAUAAGACUGGGAUAACUUCGGGAAACCGGAGCUAAUACCGGAUACGUUCUUUUCUCGCAUGAGAGAAGAUGGAAAGACGGUUUACGCUGUCACUUAUAGAUGGGCCCGCGGCGCAUUAGCUAGUUGGUGAGGUAAUGGCUCACCAAGGCGACGAUGCGUAGCCGACCUGAGAGGGUGAUCGGCCACACUGGGACUGAGACACGGCCCAGACUCCUACGGGAGGCAGCAGUAGGGAAUCUUCCGCAAUGGACGAAAGUCUGACGGAGCAACGCCGCGUGAACGAAGAAGGCCUUCGGGUCGUAAAGUUCUGUUGUUAGGGAAGAACAAGUACCAGAGUAACUGCUGGUACCUUGACGGUACCUAACCAGAAAGCCACGGCUAACUACGUGCCAGCAGCCGCGGUAAUACGUAGGUGGCAAGCGUUGUCCGGAAUUAUUGGGCGUAAAGCGCGCGCAGGUGGUUCCUUAAGUCUGAUGUGAAAGCCCACGGCUCAACCGUGGAGGGUCAUUGGAAACUGGGGAACUUGAGUGCAGAAGAGGAAAGUGGAAUUCCAAGUGUAGCGGUGAAAUGCGUAGAGAUUUGGAGGAACACCAGUGGCGAAGGCGACUUUCUGGUCUGUAACUGACACUGAGGCGCGAAAGCGUGGG
rnacentral:rRNA from 1 species